AGGGUGGACCUGCCAUGAGGGCCUGCACGCCGGAGGCCGCCCACUCAGCACUGCGGGCCCUCCAGCAGCCUGACCAGCCUCCACCAAGGGCCCAUCGGUCUUCCCCCUGGCGCCCUGCUCCAGGAGCACCUCCGAGAGCACAGCGGCCCUGGGCUGCCUGGUCAAGGACUACUUCCCCGAACCGGUGACGGUGUCGUGGAACU
rnacentral:sRNA from 1 species